AACAUGUCUUUUUGUAUUAUUUUUAAAGUCUAACCUGCCCACUGAAUUUUAAAUGGCCGCAGUAUCCUAACUGUGCAAAGGUAGCAUAAUCAUUAGUCUUUUAAUUGAAGGCUGGUAUGAAUGGUUGGACGAGGUAUAAACUGUUUCAGAUAAAUUUAUUAUAGAAUUUUAUUUUUUAGUUAAAAAGCUAAAAUUUUUUUAAAAGACGAGAAGACCCUAUAAAUCUUUAUUUUUAUUUAAAUUUUAGUUAAGAAGAUAAAUUUAAUUAUAAUUUAAAUGAAAAUUUUAUUGGGGUGAUAUUAAAAUUUAAUAAACUUUUAAUUAUAUAAAUCAUUAAUUUAUGAGUAAUUGAUCCAGUUAUAUUGAUUAAAAAUUUAAGUUACUUUAGGGAUAACAGCGUAAUUUUUUUGGAGAGUUCUUAUCGAUAAAAAAGAUUGCGACCUCGAUGUUGGAUUAAGAAAAAUUUUAGGUGUAGUAGCU
rnacentral:rRNA from 1 species